rnacentral:rRNA from 1 species
GACGAACGCUGGCGGCGUGCUUAACACAUGCAAGUCGAACGGAAAGGCCCUGCUUUUGUGGGGUGCUCGAGUGGCGAACGGGUGAGUAACACGUGAGUAACCUGCCCUUGACUUUGGGAUAACUUCAGGAAACUGGGGCUAAUACCGGAUAGGAGCUCCUGCUGCAUGGUGGGGGUUGGAAAGUUUCGGCGGUUGGGGAUGGACUCGCGGCUUAUCAGCUUGUUGGUGGGGUAGUGGCUUACCAAGGCUUUGACGGGUAGCCGGCCUGAGAGGGUGACCGGCCACAUUGGGACUGGGAUACGGCCCAGACUCCUACGGGAGGCAGCAGUGGGGAAUAUUGCACAAUGGGCGGAAGCCCGAUGCAGCAACGCCGCGUGCGGGAUGACGGCCUUCGGGUUGUAAACCGCUUUCGCCUGUGACGAAGCGUGAGUGACGGUAAUGGGUAAAGAAGCACCGGCUAACUACGUGC